UACAGAGAGUGCAAGCGUUAAUCGGAAUUACUGGGCGUAAAGCGCACGUAGGUGGAAUUUUAAGUCGGAUGUGAAAUCCCUGGGCUUAACCUGGGAAUUGCAUUCGAUACUGGGAUUCUAGAGUAUGGUAGAGGGAAGUGGAAUUUCCGGUGUAGCGGUGAAAUGCGUAGAUAUCGGAAGGAACAUCAGUGGCGAAAGCGGCUUCCUGGACUGAUACUGACACUUAGGUGCGAAAGCGUGGGGAGCAAACAGG
rnacentral:rRNA from 1 species